GCGCGGCGGCGUGCGCAGCCGACACUGGCUUUGCGGGACGCGCUGGGUCCUGAGAGACCCUCAAGCCCAGCGUCGGGGGACAAAAAGAAGUGGUCUAACAUCUCAUCUGAUGAAGGAAGGAAAGAAGAAGGGGGUCAUCACGGAUAACCAGAGCUGGCAACUGCUGGAGAGUCAAGAAUGUAACCCAUUAUCUUUCUCUACCUGGUAGAAAUUAAAGGUGGAGUCUACUUCCCCAUCAAUGAUGGGCUUGGCCAUGUGACUUGCUCUGGCCAGUGGGAUAUGGACAAAGAAGUCCACGUGACAGUUCUAAGCACCAACUUUAGGAACUUUGCAGUUAGAUCAAGCUCUAGAAGCCCGUGGUCCUUCAGUGUGAGCCCUGGAAGAAGAUGUACAGGACGGACCUGCAUCCUGAAACCUACAUUCAGCCUGAAGAGGAGCAGCUGCCACGGACCUGCAGACUUGGUCAUGCAUGGAUGUGAUAGUUGGACUAUAAAGAAAGCUGAGCACCUGAAGAAUUGAUGCUUUUGAACUGUGGUGUUGGAGAAGACUCUUGAGAGUCCCUUGGACUGCAAGGAGAUCCAACCAGUCCAUCCUAAAGGAAAUCAGUCCUGAAUAUUCAUUGGAAGGACAGAUGCUGAAGCUGAAACUCUAAUACUUUGGCCACCUGAUGCGAAGAACUGACUCACUAGAAAAGACCCCAUGCUGGAAAAGAGUGAAGGCGGGAGGAGAAGGGGACAACAGAGGAUGAGAUGGUUGGAUGGCAUCACUGACUCGAUGGACAUGAGUUUGAGUAAACUCUGGGAGUUGGUGAUGGACAGGGAGGCCUGGCGUGCUGCAGUCCAUGGGGCUGCAAAGAGUUGGACACAACUGAGUGGCUGAACUGAAGUGAACUGAUCAAUGUAUAAAUGAUACUGUUUAGAAUAGGCUCAAUUACCAUGGGCAUCUAAAAUUUAUAAAUUAUUUUUAUUUACUCAUGUUUUAAUGGCUUUCCAUAAGA